rnacentral:tRNA from 1 species
AUUUAUUUAAUAUAAAUAGUAUAUUUAACUUCCAAUUAAAAAGACUGAUAAUCAGAAUAAAUA